rnacentral:rRNA from 1 species
ACGCUAGCGGGCGGCCUAACACAUGCAAGCCGAGCGGUAGAGAUUCUUCGGAAUCUUGAGAGCGGCGCACGGGUGCGGAACACGUGUGCAACCUGCCUUUAUCUGGGGGAUAGCCUUUCGAAAGGAAGAUUAAUACCCCAUAAUAUAAUGAACGGCAUCGUUUAUUAUUGAAAACUCCGGUGGAUAGAGAUGGGCACGCGCAAGAUUAGAUAGUUGGUGAGGUAACGGCUCACCAAGUCAAUGAUCUUUAGGGGGCCUGAGAGGGUGAUCCCCCACACUGGUACUGAGACACGGACCAGACUCCUACGGGAGGCAGCAGUGAGGAAUAUUGGACAAUGGGUGAGAGCCUGAUCCAGCCAUCCCGCGUGAAGGACGACGGCCCUAUGGGUUGUAAACUUCUUUUAUACUGGGAUAAACCUACUCUCGUGAGGGUAGCUGAAGGUACAGUAUGAAUAAGCACCGGCUAACUCCGUGCCAGCAGCCGCGGUAAUACGGAGGGUGCAAGCGUUAUCCGGAUUUAUUGGGUUUAAAGGGUCCGUAGGCGGACUCGUAAGUCAGUGGUGAAAUCUCAUAGCUUAACUAUGAAACUGCCAUUGAUACUGCGAGUCUUGAGUAAAGUAGAAGUGGCUGGAAUAAGUAGUGUAGCGGUGAAAUGCGUAGAUAUAGGAAGGAACACCAGUGGCGAAGGCGACCACCUGGACUGAUACUGACACUGAGGUGCGAAAGCGUGGGGAGCAAAC